UACGUAGGGGGCAAGCGUUGUCCGGAAUCAUUGGGCGUAAAGAGCGUGUAGGCGGCUCGAUAAGUCCGCUCUGAAAGCCCGGGGCUCAACCCCGGGAGGCGGGCGGAUACUGUCGAGCUAGAGUCCGGAAGAGGCGAGUGGAAUUCCUGGUGUAGCGGUGAAGUGCGCAGAUAUCGGGAAGAACACCCAUGGCGAAGGCAGCUCUCUGGGACGGUACUGACGCUGAGACGCGAAAGCGUGGGGAGCAAACAGG
rnacentral:rRNA from 1 species